rnacentral:tRNA from 1 species
GCGCCCGUAGCUCAAUUGGACAGAGCGUUUGACUACGGAUCAAAAGGUUAGGGGUUCGACUCCUCUCGGGCGCGCCA